rnacentral:tRNA from 1 species
AUAAAUAUAGUUUAACCAAAACGUCAGAUUGUGAUUCUGAAAAUAGGAGAUAAAAACUCCUCUUUUAUA